GGGCAAAAAAUGAUGAAUGAGUGAUUCACAUUGGACUCAAACAAACAACAUAGAGAAUAUUGAUUGAAUUGGAUUGUGGAUGUUGAUGCAAGAAGCGAACGAUCGGUUAUUGACGAAUCCAACAUUCCUUGCAAAUCACCACCUUUUGGCUUGAACAUUUCGUUCAUACCCAUCUAAAUGAAAGCAAUGUUUUAACUUUGAUUUAUUCGCACCUUCUAUUUUUGAAAAGAGUUGAAACAUACCUAUUUCAAAAUCGGAUCAAGCUGAAUUUCAUACUCCAACGUAAACCGUGGAAGUUUAACAUGAACAAGCUCUUUCUUCAUUCCAUUGGUGACUUCUGACAAGUCGUAGCCCAUCAAUUUAGAUUUCAACUCGCGUAAGCCCACACGAGAGUUUGGAAGAACAACUACGAAUGACAAAUCGGUUUCCCAGUAUUUUAUUUCGAGUGCGAUAGCGCCCAAACUAUCCAGCUUCGCAUAUUUGAAUUCUGAUGUAUGGAUCAUGUAUUUAACUUGAACGAUUUCAUUUUCUUUCGUGUGAAAAUCACCCACUUCAGUCGAUUCCACAGCGAACUGAUAAUUCCAUGUGUCAAAGAAGCAUACACCAUUUACAAAUACAACCCUAUCCAAGGCUCCAGAAAUGUCUGAUUUAAUCGCAAUCGGAACUUGGCUGUUCUGACCUCUUGUUGGUUACCAAAAUCGACUACCACAAAGCUUGUGCCAAAUUUCUCCGUCGCAAUUUUGCAAAAAUCCGAGUUCAAAGUCAUUCCAAUCGGUACGCAAAUUUGGUUCACGAUCGAAAAUUCUGCGCGCAAUUUUUCCUUUCCAAUAGAUCUUUCGACUCUCUCAAUGAAUUCGGCCAACUGACGCUGAAUUUGUGCCUUGUUAGCAUCCAUAUUGCGUACGCCAAGUACUCUCAUCACUUCGUCCAACGUAUUCCCUUUUGCCACUUGUGCGAUCAAAAUAAGCACAUUUGCAAUACUUAGCGGGCUUAUUACGCAUCAACAUUGAUUCACAAGGCCGUUCUGCGGAAUACCUUAGAAGGUUCCGCCCGUGGCACCCAUCCACGUUGUAUGGAGUUUCGAACGACUGACGAACCUAUCAAAUUUCAUAUUGACCACCCGUUCUUCUUCUUCAUUCAUAGCAAAUCCACAUCAAUACCCGUAUUCUACGGAACUGUUUACAUGCCCGAGCCAGCAAAUGUCCAUGAUUCGAAUUGAAUAUUGAAAAUGAAAUGAAAUGAAACAAAAGAUUUUUUUCUAAUUACAAUAAAAUUCAGUACAACAA